rnacentral:rRNA from 1 species
CGGUGGAGUGAUUUGUCUGGUUAAUUCCGUUAACGAACGAGACCUUAGCCUACUAAAUAGUUAAACCGAUUUCGAUCGGCUUAAUCUUCUUAGAGGGACUUUGUGCAAAACACAAGGAAGUUUGAGGCAAUAACA